GCCUAGGUGGCUCAGUUGGUUAAGCAUCCAACUCUUGAUUUGGCUCAGGUCAUAAUCUCAUGGUUUGUGGGUUCGAGCCCCACACUGGGCU
rnacentral:tRNA from 1 species